UAUUAGCAGAAUAUAUAAUAAGAAAAACAGAAUAAAUAUGGAUAUUCUGUAUGAACCACAUAGACAGAUAUGUACAGUAUGUACAGCUAUGUGCAGUGUGGUAACAUCAGAGUAGUAAGAAUAAGUGUAUGUGCAGGAUGAAUAGUAUGAAGAGCAGUAGAAUAUGGCUAUGUAUAGAUGUUAUUACGGAAUGUACAUUUUUUAUUUUAGAUAGUGUUUUU